AAGUCGUAACAAGGUUUCCGUAGGUGAACCUGCGGAAGGAUCAUUAACACUGUUUACUCAACAGUUUUAAACCCCAAACAUUUGUGUGAACCAGGAUGCUUUGCAUCCUGCUCUCUACCCUACAAUUUUUUUUAAACUCAUUAAUUUGAUUUCAUUCUCGAAUGAACUAAAAACAAAUGACAAAAACUUUUUUUCUCUCGUAGAAAAAAUUUUUUAUUGAAAUGCUGAACAACUCUUAACAACGGAUAUCUUGGUUCUC
rnacentral:misc_RNA from 1 species